rnacentral:rRNA from 1 species
AUUGAACGCUGGCGGCAUGCCUUACACAUGCAAGUCGAACGGUAACGGGCCUUCGGGUGCCGACGAGUGGCGAACGGGUGAGUAAUGUAUCGGAACGUACCUUUCAGUGGGGGAUAACGUAGCGCAAGUUACGCUAAUACCGCAUAUUCUGUGCGCAGGAAAGAAGGGGAUCGCAAGACCUUGCGCUGAUUGAGCGGCCGAUAUCAGAUUAGCUAGUUGGUGAGGUAAAGGCUCACCAAGGCGACGAUCUGUAGCGGGUCUGAGAGGAUUAUCGGCCACACUGGAGCUGAGCCCCAGUCCAGGCUCCUAAGGGAGGCAGCAGUGGGGAAUUUUGGACAAUGGGGGCAACCCUGGUCCAGCCAUGCCGCGUGAGUGAAGAAGGCCUUCGGGUUGUAAAGCUCUUUCGGCCGGGAAGAAAUCGUAUCAGCUAAUACCUGGGGCGAAUGACGGUACCGGCAUAAGAAGCACCGGCUAACUACGUGCCAGCAGCCGCAGUAAGAC